rnacentral:lncRNA from 10 species
CAUGUGAGAACACAGAAUGGCCAGGGCAGAGAUCAACGAAUUUUCAGAUCAUCAGUUCUUAUCCAGAUGAUGAGUCUGUUUACUGCACUACUGAAAAAUACAACGUUAUGGAACAUAGACAUAAUGAUAUGCAUUAUGAAUGUAUGACUCCUUGUCAAGUUACUUCAGACUCAGAUAAAGAGAAGACAAUAGCAUUUCUUCUAAAAGAAUUGGAUAUUCUCAGAACAAGCAAUAAAAAGCUUCAGCAGAAAUUGGCUAAAGAAGAUAAAGAACAGAGAAAACUAAAGUUUAAGCUGGAACUCCAAGAGAAAGAAACAGAAGCUAAAAUUGCUGAAAAGACAGCAGAGAGAAGAGGAGUUUAAUUGUGAUUGUUCAAAGGAUCAGUCACAGAAUCCCUGAAACUUACAACUUAAGUUUUUCUAUUCAGGUUAAAAUGUAAAGGGUAAAAAUAUAGAUUUGUAAUCUACCAUUAUAGCAAGUAUAUCAAGACACCCCAGUGGAUUAAAAUGGGAAAAAAUUAUAUUAUAGAAAAUGUUUACAUUAUUCUCUUGUAAAAAGAUUAUCUGUUACUAUGUAUCAUAUCUCAGAUGAUGUUGACCAUCUAAUUAAGAGGAACAAGAGUUAAUUUUCUUUACCAGAACAGAAAAUGGCAUAACUUUUAUCUUUAAGAAAUAGUACAUAUUGGAAUCUAAUUUUUCUGUGUAUAUAAUGGGCAUCAAUAAAAUGUGAUAGCCUUUAACCUAAUACUUGAAUGCCUUAAUAGUAUUAAAUUAUAAUGCUACAUUAAAUUUAUAUUUGUAUUUUUUUAAUUUGAAAAGAAAAAGGAUUUCAAGAAUAUGAACACUAAUUUCAGAUAAGAACAUGAAGGCCCAUGUCUGUGAAACACAGCAGGUAGAAAUAUUGAUAGACUAUUGAUUAUAUUACUGUCUUUGGCUACAGAAUUCUAUGGAUAUGAAUCAGAAUGAAUUCUGACGAGUGCCAGGUCAAAUAAUACUUGAGGAAAGAAUAUAACCAAUUUGUAUCCUUGCUUCCUAGAAAAGUUUGGUUUUUUUCUGGAAAAGCAAUAAAAUUGGAGUAGAUGGAGGAUCCAUUAUACAUAAGAAUAGCCAACAGCUGGAAAUAUUUUAUUGGGUUUAACAUACAAUGGACUUUAGCAUAAUGUCAAGCCUUUGAAAAUAUAUGUAAUUAAGGUAUUUAAAACAUAAAAAUAACAAAAAUAAAACUUUUCAGAAAGUUAUCUAAAGACUUUUUCACACGUCUAAUGAUUCUAAAGAGGAAAUGAGAUUAGAAAAUGUUUAGAUAGCAGUUAUAUUUCAAAGAAUUUUCAUAUUGGUAUCAAAUUUAAGGCUGAUAGUCUGUUUAGUAAAUAAAAAUUUUUUAAGUUAUAUUUCAAAAGACAUACAAUUAUCAGUACUGAUUUUAAUGCUUCAGGGAUAAACUUUUCUCUUUCACAUUGGAAAAGGUAGCUCCAAUAUCACAUAUAUUAAAUCUUUGAAUGUAAGCAUAGAGCAUAUUUUCAGAAAACUUUUUUAAUAUAGUCUUUGAGUUUUCUGUAGUAAAUACAUGUGUAUAGUAAUCGAGGGUUUUUUAAAAAAUGCUUUUGAUUCAUUGUCUUGCUACUGAAACAUACUAUUUUGCAUAAUUUUCAAAUUAAUUUUGAACACUUCCUGUACUGAUGCUGAGUGUAUAAAUUUACAGCAACUUUACAGGGGAAAAUUUGACAAUAUAUAUUAAGAGCUUUAAAAGCUGACUUUUAAUCUAGCCAUCAUACUUCUAGUAAUUUUCUUAAGUAAUUAGGUGUGUAUAUACAUAAAGAUGUGUAUACAAAGAUAUCCAUUACAGUGUUGUUUAUAUAGCCAAUAGUUGGAAAUGGUGUACAAUCUAAUAUUAGGAGCAUCUUAGUUGAAUCACAUAUAGCAUGUCCAAAUGAUAAAAUUUCACCUGCUAUUUUAUAUUUUUUAAGAAUACUGAAGAAUAUAGGAACAUAUGCUGCUUAUUUUAAUUACAGGGUUACAAAGCUAUACUAAAUAUUUUUCUCCUUUAAAUUUUUAUGAGUUUGUACUACUGUUUAAUCAGAAAAAGUUAUUUACAAAGUAAUUGUAUAAAAUGUUGCAAAGUCCAGUUUUAAAAAAACAAAUAGUCUGGUCUAUGAAAGAAGUUCUGGAGUAAUAAGUUGAAUUCAGCAUUGUUAUGCCAAAAACAGAAACAUCGAACUAAUUUGAGUCGGUUUUGGUUAAUUUUCUACUGGUGUGGGGCAUCUACCAUCUAUUUUAAAAUUUCCAAUAGCCAGUUUAUGCAAAGAAGGAAAAAUUACAAUUAUUAAGGAAAUUAAAAUAUAUAAUGUUUGUAGUUCUAGAAUAUAUAUGUGGUGGUUUUAUAAAUGUUAAUUGUUCUCAUAUUUGCAAGAAAUGAAUUUAACAUCAUUAUAAGUCUUCUCCAGAUGGUUAUUUCUCAUGUAAAACUAAUGGUAGAUAUUCAUAGAAUUUGAGAUUCUUUCAUAUGUAGUAAAGUCUGGUCUUUUACAAAAUUAUUGUGUAUAUUAUAUUGCUUAGAAUUUUCCAACAUGAAUUAUUAUCCAGUUAUUUAAUAUGUUUAAAAUCCUAAUGAUUUCUUUUUCCUUCUUUUUAAUUUAGCCUUUUAUAUUUACAUAACUACCAUAAGAUGUUAACAGAUGGAUUCUUUUUCCUGUGAAAUGUCUAUCCUCCCAAUUAUGUUAUUUAGAGAAUCAUGAGCCAGUGUUUAAACUAGAAUGUUAUCCAAGGUACUGUCUCACUCGUACUGUAUUUUAAAAGUAGUUUGAAAAGUGUGGAAUAUGGAUUUGCCAAUAGACUUGGGUCUACUAAGAAAAUAUGUACUCUGCCUUGACUCAAUAAACUCAUACUUAGUGU